rnacentral:sRNA from 1 species
AGGUGAAUUUGGAUAGUUGAACAAAAAUGAUAAUUAUUUUUUCAUUUAGGUUUAAAAAUGUUUUCAUUAAAAAUAGAACUACUACUAAAAACAAAAAUUCAAAUAUACUUACUUAUAUAUAGGUUACUGAUUAAUAUGCUAUCAAUUAUAAAUACAGAGGAAGAAAGCUAGUGACAAAUAAUUACUAAUUAUAACCAAGUGUUGUUAAUUCAAUUAGUAAAAACCCUAGACGAAACUUAGAGAUCGCCAGUUCGAAUGACGUUUAGAACAAAAGUAAUAUUAUAUGCUGUAGUUUCGGGUACGGAGGGAUUACGGGUUUCAGUCCAAAACCUCUUGGUAUUCAAAAAAAAAAAUACUAAUUAUAUUGAAU